rnacentral:rRNA from 1 species
AUGCAGCGACGCCGCGUGAGUGAAGCAGGUCUUCGGAUCGUAAAACUCUGUCCUUGGUGACGAAAAAAUGACGGUAGCCAAGGAGGAAGCCCCGGCUAACUACGUGCCAGCAGCCGCGGUAAUACGUAGGGGGCGAGCGUUGUCCGGAUUUACUGGGCGUAAAGGGUGAGUAGGCGGUAAUAUGUGUCAGAUGUAAAAGGCUAUGGCUUAACCAUAGUUAGCAUUUGAAACUGUAUUACUUGAGUGCAGGAGAGGUAAGUGGAAUUCCUAGUGUAGCGGUGAAAUGCGUAGAUAUUAGGAGGAACACCAGUGGCGAAGGCGACUUACUGGACUGUAACUGACGCUGAG